GGCCCAAUCCAUAGGAGCCAUUGAGGCGUGCUGCAGACCUUGCGUAUCCGUGGCCGUAGCUGCUCCAGUGUCCCGCGCCCAGAAGACCAGCCGAAAAGAUCAGCACCUUGAGCAGUACGAUGAUCAGCAAAUUGGUACAAACUAUGCACGCACUUGACUGUUGCCCGCAGAGCGGUGGAGCAGCUCCUUGGCCACCUGAACAACCACAUGGCCUGCUGGGCUAGCAAACAGGCCCUGAGCACUCCUCAGCCACGUGAGUGGACGCAGCACACUCACGCUCUGGGUGUCAUUUGCCACACUCUCCUCCAUCCCUUGCACCUGCAGUUGCACACUUGCUGCCACACUGAGGCAGCACAUUAUGGCCAGCGAAGUCAGUAGCAGCCACACUCUUCUUGUACGAUUCCACUUGAUGUGCAUUUUGUUAUUAGUAUUUGUUUUCUUUGCCUUUGGUUAAGGAUCGCGUGCUCGUUGUUGUCACCGUCGCGCACAGACUGGUCUCAAACAUGGUAAUGCAGACUGCAGGCCACGAUGAAGACCAAGACCAAGACCCAGACAUUGCAUGUUUUGCCUCGCUGCACAAUAAAACAAAGAACGAAGUUGGCAAGAAACAUUCGAAGAAACAUUAUCGAAGCAACGAGAGUGUUUCCUGAUGUCACUACCCUUAAAUUGGCGGACAUUUUUCCACACCGGAGAUUUGCCUACCUGGCUCUCGUCCCCCUCUCUAUCUCUCUCCUUUCGCUUUCUGCAAAAAUAACUCAGGUAGACGCACGCGAAAUUGUGCAUGGAGAAUAGGCUAUGAUUAAGUAAAAGUACUGUGGCUUUUGUAUCAAUCAUCAACGCAUUUAUUGUUACUUGUAUUUUAGUUUUUGGUUUGCAGUAUCCGUUGGAAUAGUUGAAAGUACAUAUUUUAUUAGUUUAUUAUGUGUAUAUAACAUAUGUAUAUUUUGUCAAUAAAUGGUUAUAAUACAAAUACAAAUGUUUUAUGUAUCCGUCAUUUCCAAUAAAUGUUCAGAAAUUUUUGCAAUUACAAACAACAUACAAGUACAUAUUCCAUA